CAAAGGUUUGGUCCUGGCCUUCUUAUUAGCCUAUAACAAGAUUACACAUGCAAGUAUCCGCACACCUGUGAGAAUGCCCUCUACGUUAACUUAUUAACCCAAAGGAGCAGGUAUCAAGCACACUCUAAAUGUAGCUCAAAACACCUUGCUUAGCCACACCCCCACGGAUACAGCAGUGAUUAAAAUUAAGCCAUGAACGAAAGUUUGACUAAGCUAUGUUAUAGCCAAGGGUUGGUAAAUCUCGUGCCAGCCACCGCGGUCAUACGAUUAACCCAAGUUAAUAAGCCCCGGCGUAAAGGGUGUUUUAGAUAAUCUACAAAAAUAAAGUUAAACCUUGUCUAAGCUGUAAAAAGCAAUAGCCAAAGAUAAGACAGAGCACGAAAGUCACUUUAAUACUCACUCUGAACACACGAUAGCUAAGACACAAACUGGGAUUAGAUACCCCACUAUGCUUAGCCCUAAACAUAAAUUAUUCAUAAACACAAAUAUUCGCCAGAGUACUACAAGCCAUAGCUCAAAACUCAAAGGACUUGGCGGUGCUUCACAUCCCUCUAGAGGAGCCUGUUCCAUAAUCGAUAAACCCCGAUCAACCUCACCACUCCUUGUUCAUCACAGCCUAUAUACCGCCAUCUUCAGCAAACCUUAACAAAGAACAAAAGUAAGCACAAGUACAACCAUAAAAACGUUAGGUCAAGGUGUAGCCUAUGGAGUGGAAAGUAAUGGGCUACAUUUACUUAGCCAAGUACAUAUUACGAUACCUUUCAUGAAACCUGAAAGAAAAAGGAGGAUUUAGUAGUAAGCUAAGAGUAGAGUGCUUAGCUGAAUAAGGCCAUGAAGCACGCACACACCGCCCGUCACCCUCCUCAAGCACUUAUAUAGACCCAUAAACAUAUUAACUCUAGCACACAGUGUAAGAGGAGAUAAGUCGUAACAUGGUAAGCAUACUGGAAAGUGUGCUUGGAAUAAC
rnacentral:ncRNA from 1 species